rnacentral:rRNA from 1 species
UGGGGAAUAUUGCACAAUGGGCGAAAGCCUGAUGCAGCAACGCCGCGUGAGUGAUGAAGGCCUUCGGGUUGUAAAGCUCUGUCUUCUGGGACGAUAAUGACGGUACCAGAGGAGGAAGCCACGGCUAACUACGUGCCAGCAGCCGCGGUAAUACGUAGGUGGCAAGCGUUGUCCGGAUUUACUGGGCGUCAAGGAUGCGUAGGCGGAUACUUAAGUCAGAUGUGAAAAUCCCGGGCUUAACUUGGGAACUGCAUUUGAAACUGGGUAUCUAGAGUGCGGGAGAGGAAAGUGGAAUUCCUGGUGUAGCGGUGGAAUGCGCAGAUAUCAGGAGGAACACCGGUGGCGAAGGCGGGUCUCUGGGCAGUAACUGACGCUGAGGAGCGAAAGCGUGGGGAGCGAACA